ensembl:lncRNA
UAUGUAGUGUAUAGCUCAUGUCUCCUUUGUUGCAGCAGGGGACAGAUAAGCUCAGUACUUGAAUCCUGCUACAGAGGGCAGGACAAUACGUUGUGACUCAGGCACAGGGAUUCUGGCAUUUGAGCACACUAUCACAAGAUGUCAAUCACUCCGCAAAGUGAUUCCACGCAUGGGGAGCAAACACGAUCUAAACUCCGAGGACAGAGACCAGCACAACGCUAGCCAAGCUCCGGCCGUGUAGCCGGUGAUGGCCAUGAUUCAGUUAGCCCGCCGGAGCUAAUCUGCAUUUAUCUCGUGUCGUCCUCACCCCACUCACCCAGCAGGUGCCAUUCUCACCUGGGUCACUCUGGCUCCUGUCAGCGCUGCCAUUCCCAGGAUCGGUGAUGCAGAAGCCCAGAAGACCAACACAACCACCUUUUAUAGAGCGC